UCUCUUAUGCCCGGAGAAUGGCUCUUGCUUGAUAUAAGCAGUCGGACGCUGCUUGCAUGGCAUGAGGUCUGUGCUUAUCCUCAUGUUUCAUGGCUGGUCUUAUUACGCAGUCUGAGUAAGCACACAAUCUGUACAAGGAGGUUAGGGCAUAUUUUUAAGAC
rnacentral:sRNA from 12 species